rnacentral:rRNA from 1 species
GACGAACGCUGGCGGCGCGCUUAACACAUGCAAGUCGAGCGAAUCGGCGGACGGGUGAGUAACACGUGAGUAACCUGCCUUAGCCAUUGGGAUCGCCUCGGGAAACCGGGAUUAAUACCAAAUGGUCUAAGAUGGACUCGCGUCCCAUUAGCUGGUUGGUGAGGUAACGGCCCACGAAGUCGACGAUGGGUAGCCGGCCUUAGAGGGGGAACGGACACAUUGGAACUGGGAAACGGGCCAAACUCUACGGGAGGCAGAAGGGGGGAAUAUUGCACAAUGGAGGGAACUCUGAUGCAGCGAGGCCGCGUGAACGAAGAAGGCUUGCGAGUCGUAAAGUUCUUUUAUAGGGGAAGCGGUACCAUAAGAAAAAGCCCCGGCUAACUACGUGCCAGCCGCCGCGGUAAUUC